ACGUGCUGGCAAUGUCACCUUGACCCACCUCCUCUUAUCAAUCUCCUACAUCUUGGAAUAGAACAGAAUAAAGACACCGAUGAAAAGGGAGGGGUGGGAGAAGCUGAACACAGACGACAGGGGAGCUGCUAGCAGUGCUGCACCCCUUCCCAAACAUGGCCGCUUUUUGAGACUGAACUAGCUGUGGGCUUUGAAGCAAAAGGCCUCAGGGUGGAAAAUGAAAGAUGCUUAAGGUCACUGCCCCUCCUGUUCUGUACACAAGCCUAAGCUCGGGAGGAAAUAAUUUGAGGUAUCUGGAAGAAGCAGAGAGAGCAGGGCAGCUCUGAAGUCACUGCGAGGCUGUGAGAGGUCAGCCAGCGCUUCAAAGGACCCCAGGACCUUUGCACAACCCUGGACUGAAUGGGAAGGGAAAGUCCCAGUCAUGACAGAAACGGAAUUUCCCACCAACUCAGUAGGAGGUUUGGGGUUCAGGGUCAGUUUCAUGGCAGUGCAAACAAAAUAAAGAAAAUGUGAUAUUUAUUGCUUACUUAAAUUUGUGGACCAAACUGCCUACCAUGCUAUCCACACUGUUUCCUGCAGGUGGUCAAUGUGGGCUUAAGGGAAAUGUAACUCAUCUUAAUAUUUGCUUAAAUCAAAUGGAAUAUAGAAAGUAAAUAAAUCUGCUGCCAAGCCAUCAAGUAGGGCAUUCUAAACCCAAAAUAAAGAGCCUAUGGACUGUC